AGCAAACUGGGCUUGACAGUUGCAUCCCAGUUCAUUCUGCUCCUUCUCUUCCUUUACGGGCUUGCCGAGUUUCUGAACAGCAGCUACACUUUGCUGAAUCCCCAUAUCCGAAUGGAAUAUUCAGUAUGGAUUGAUCUACUGGUGAUGCAAUCAUCUCAAGUCAUGUGACAGUUUCCUCUGAAUUGAAAGGAGACAAGUGAUAGAAGAUGACACCAGAGAAUGUAUAAGGGACCAGGGAGAAGCACACGAGACAAGAAAAAGAUUUCUGCUUCUUUAUCUGACCACCAUUUGAGGAACUGUGCCAAAAGAACCCUCUGAAGCUGUGAGCCCAAAUAACACUCUCCCUUAACUUGCAUCUGUCUGGUGUUUUUGCUGAAACAGGAGGAGCAGCUAAUGCAAUCGAUGUAAAACAAACGUGAACCAAGGUGGUAAGCAGCAGGAAAAAUGCUCAGAGAACUUCCAGUUUUAGCCUUGCUGGAGGGAAUGGGGACUUGAGGAAGAAAUUACUCCAUCAGCAAGCAGAGUGACCUCACUGGAAUGCCAAUUUCACAGUUAUUCUGGGAAUAAUAGUGCAAGUUGAGAGCAAGAAAUUAAAAGUCCAAUAACUUGCUAGGAAAA